rnacentral:lncRNA from 1 species
AAAACUAUAUGCCGCCCUGAAACCCUCUCUCAAACUCUCUCAAACCUAACCCUAAUCAAACCUUGCUGACACUCGUCCAUGGCUAUCUAUGGUGGUUUCUCACCACCUCCUAGGCCCCCAAUGGCCUCGCUCACGUGAGUUUGCCAUCUCCAGGGUCCUCAAGGGACCAAGGCUAGUUUGCUUGCAUCUAUGGUUCCUUUCUCACCUGUUUCAAGUUGUUCCAGUAUGAUUCAGGGUAUGAUUGUCCUAUAUUGACUACGAUCUAUGUGCUUUUAAGCAUGUUUCUUUACCUUUGUGUUGUUCUCUUCGAAACCCUAAUUUCUUUUUCUGAACCUCUUAGAUCUGUAAGAUCUGAGAGGAUUUAGACUAUUUUCAUGUGAGUUUUACAACAACCAUGAUAUUCUUUACAAGUAUCAUAUGGUUUUCAAUUGAUUUUCAUCUUUUUCUAAACUAGGAUUUCCAUAAUUUCUUUUUACAAAAUGUUUGAUGAUUUUUUGUAGUGUUUGAUCUUCUUCUUCUCAUAUGUCUUGACUGAUUUUGUAAGUUUGGCUACAACCUUAACUCACUUGUAUUGAAGACCCUAAUUUUCUGAUGUUCUUCGUUUGGUUUCUGGGUAUUGGUAUAUCGACUGUGUUCUUGCUUUGGGUUCUUGUGAUUUCUCAUGAUUUUCUUGUCCUAAUAUGCUUCUGCUGAACUUCUUAGUUCAACCUUUUCUAAUUCUAUAUGCUUGUAUCGAAUCAUGACUAUUCAUGUCUUACCUUAUUUUAUAUGCUAAACUUGCUCACUAUUUCAUGAAUUUCUCUUUGAUUGAGCCGUUGAUUAUUCUGAAUUCCUUAUUUCCUGUUUAAUUUAAACAUUUUCCUUUAAACUUUUGAUUCUUACAUCUCUGCUCGAUUUGAUUGAAUUGUUUUCCUUGAUUAAUUUUCCCUUGCCUUGUUUAUAUUUUGUUGAUUUUUACUGAUUGUAUCUUUAAUUAAACUUUUCAUUUACCCCUAAUUACCUACUUUAUACCCAAAACUUACUUGAUUAUUUUCCUUAUAUACCUAACAUUCUUUUACCGUCGAUUUGAUUAUGAAGGACUUGCUGAUUGAUUCCACAAACUUGCCUGAUUUGCUACUUAAUUGAUCUCUUACCUUACUUGUUAAGCUUUUGAUUACUAUAUAAAACCCUCUUAUUUUUACUUCUGGACAACUAACAAUAGUUCAAAAACCACUAUUCUUUACACUCUAAAAGGCUCUCUUUCUUCUAUCCUUGCGACUUGUUAUCUUUUCCAUUCUAGCCGGCUACAAGCCAGGCCUGGAAGUUACACUCUACCUUUCUCAUAUCUUGUGCUUUGCAUUCCUUAACUAGGUAUCCUUUGAUUAAUUUUUAAGAAUUAAACCUAUGUGUUUACUUACUAGUUUAGUUCAUAUGGCUUAAGUCUGUUCAUGUUUAUGUCUACUGCUUAUCCAAGCAUGUCUAAUAUUGCCUAUUCAAACAUAUGACUAGUAUGUUUCCACUUUACUUGCUUGUUUGCUGUCUUGUUUAGUAUGUCUGCAUAUGUUUGUCCAAAACAUUGUCUUUCCAAAACUCUAUUUCUAUGUAAUUAGCAUGCCUCGAUUGUUAAUACUUGACCAGCAUGCUCAUUUCAGUCCUUUCCUGUUCUGUUUCAUUCCUACUAAGUCAGUCAAUCCCUUUAAAGUAAUUCUAACUUUGUUAUGCAUGUUUCUACUGUGAUCAUUGCUUCAUAUGUCGAACCCUCUCAAAACUCACUAUGUCAUGUCGUUUGUAUGCUCCAUUAAGAGAUACCCUCUAUGUUCCCAACCCCAUCCCUUUUGUGUGAAAUUUGUUCCUGAAACUUAUUCUAUGGCUUGGUUGUGAUUGCCAUUCUUCACUAUGUUCCUUAAACUGUUUCUGCACUAAUGGUUUUCAAAUGUUCUUUUCAGUCUUAAGACCUUUCUGUUAAACUCUUUCAACUAUUAUGCACUUCCACUUACUCUUAGAAUACUAGGUUCUGCCCCUCUGAUAGUUGUACUGCCUUGAUAUCCUUGAGUUCUCUCUAAACUAUUACAUGCCAGAGCUGACCUUUCCACACUGCAGGUAUGCACCUAAAUCACUUAUCAUUUGAGAAAAGGUCUAGGUGUGAGCACUGACCAGGAUCCUUGAGGUCCUUAGGGAACUCUGACACACCUAUACAUGAAAUUGGCUAUGGAACUUUGGCAUUAGAGGCUAUUGGAGGCUUAGAAAGUCAUUUAGGCCUACUGCAGGCUCCCUAUUGAUUAAAUCCUAUUUAUUUAUGUAUUUUAUUUAAUUUAUUGAUUUGCAAUAAUUAUUGUAAACAAUAUUGGGG